UACGAAGGGGGCUAGCGUUGCUCGGAGUUACUGGGCGUAAAGGGUGCGUAGGCGGUUCUGUAAGUAUGGUGUGAAAUCUCCCGGCUUAACUGGGAGGGUGCGCUAUAAACUGCGGGGCUAGAGUGUGGGAGAGGAAAGUGGAAUUCCUGGUGUAGCGGUGAAAUGCGUAGAUAUCAGGAGGAACACCGGUGGUGUAAACGGCUUUCUGGACCAUAACUGACGCUGAAGCACGAAAGCGUGGGUAGCAAACAGG
rnacentral:rRNA from 1 species